UACGUAGGGUGCAAGCGUUGUCCGGAAUUAUUGGGCGUAAAGAGCGUGUAGGCGGCCCGGUUAGUCCGCUGUGAAAGUCCAGGGCUCAACCCUGGAAUGCCGGUGGAUACUGUCGGGCUAGAGUCCGGAAGGGGCGAGUGGAAUUCCUGGUGUAGCGGUGAAAUGCGCAGAUAUCAGGAGGAACACCAAUGGCGAAGGCAGCUCGCUGGGACGUGACUGACGCUGAGACGCGAAAGCGAGGGGAGCAAACAGG
rnacentral:rRNA from 1 species